rnacentral:sRNA from 1 species
UGGAGAGGGGCUUCCACAGUACUCAUGCAAGGUCAGGGAGCAGCGCCCCCAUACCAGCACAGCCCAGUGGAGUCACUCACAGCAGUCACUGUGGACUCGCACACGUUGUGAGAACUACUCUCAUCUUACCUCCAGCUUUCCAUUGUUUUCAGUAUGACCCUCAAUUCGGUGAUGCCUUCUGGAACAGCAGCAAAUAUGGGAUGGUGACGUACCUGCUGCGAAUGAUGACCAGCUGGGCCAUUGUCUGCAGCGUGUGGUACCUGCCUCCCAUGACUAGAGAGGCAGAUGAAGAUGCCGUCCAGUUUGCGAAUAGGGUGAAAUCUGCCAUUGCCAGGCAGGGAGGACUUGUGGACCUGCUGUGGGAUGGGGGCCUGAAGAGGGAGAAGGUGAAGGACACGUUCAAGGAGGAGCAGCAGAAGCUGUACAGCAAGAUGAUCGUGGGGAACCACAAGGACAGGAGCCGCUCCUGAGCCUGCCUCCAGCUGGCUGGGGCCACCGUGCGGAGUGCCGAUGGGCUCAGAGCUGGAGUUGCUGCCGCCGCCCCCACUGCUGUGUCCUUUCCAGACUCCAGGGCUCCCUGGGCUGCUCUGGAUCCCAGGACUCCGGCUUUCGCCGAGCCGCAGCGGGAUCCCUGUGCACCCGGCGCAGCCUGCCCUUGGUGGUCUAAAUGGAUGCUGCUGGGUGUCGCAACCCAGGAUGAGAUGCCUUGUUUCUUUUACAAUAAGUCGUUGGAGGAAUGCCAUUAAAGUGAACUCCCCACCUUUGCACGCUGUGCGGGCUGAGUGGUUGGGGAGAUGUGGCCAUAGUCUUGUGCUAGAGAUGGUGGGACAAGAGUGUUAU